rnacentral:rRNA from 1 species
CAGCCGCCACGGUAAUACGGAGGGUGCAAGCGCUAAUCGGAAUUACUGGGCGUAAAGCGCACGCAGGCGGUUUGUUAAGUCAGAUGUGAAAUCCCCGAGCUUAACUUGGGAACUGCAUUUGAAACUGGCAAGCUAGAGUCUUGUAGAGGGGGGUAGAAUUCCAGGUGUAGCGGUGAAAUGCGUAGAGAUCUGGAGGAAUACCGGUGGCGAAGGCGGCCCCCUGGACAAAGACUGACGCUCAGGUGCGAAAGCGUGGGGAGCAAACAGGAUUAGAUACCCCUGUAGUCCCUGUCUCUUAUAC